GACGAACGCUGGCGGCGUGCUUAACACAUGCAAGUCGAACGGAAAGGCCCUGCUUUUGUGGGGUGCUCGAGUGGCGAACGGGUGAGUAACACGUGAGUAACCUGCCCUUGACUUUGGGAUAACUUCAGGAAACUGGGGCUAAUACCGGAUAGGAGCUCCUGCUGCAUGGUGGGGGUUGGAAAGUUUCGGCGGUUGGGGAUGGACUCGCGGCUUAUCAGCUUGUUGGUGGGGUAGUGGCUUACCAAGGCUUUGACGGGUAGCCGGCCUGAGAGGGUGACCGGCCACAUGGGGACGGGGAGAGGGCCCGGACUCCGAGGGGAGGCAGCAGGGGGGAAUAUGGCACAAUGGGGGGAAGCCGGAUGCAGAAACGCCGGGGGGGGGAGGACGGCCUUCGGGUGGUAAACCGCUUUCGCCGGUGACGAAGGGGGAGUGACGGUAAUGGGGAAAGAAGCACCGGCUAACUACGU
rnacentral:rRNA from 1 species